rnacentral:rRNA from 1 species
GACGGAGGAUGCAAGCGUUAUCCGGAAUGAUUGGGCGUAAAGCGUCCGCAGGUGGCAGUUCAAGUCUGCUGUCAAAGACCGGGGCUUAACUUCGGAAAGGCAGUGGAAACUGAACAGCUAGAGUAUGGUAGGGGCAGAGGGAAUUCCUGGUGUAGCGGUGAAAUGCGUAGAGAUCAGGAAGAACACCGGAGGCGAAGGCGGCUUGCUGGACCUGGUCUGACGCUGAGGCGCGAAAGCGUGGGGAGCGAACAGG